UACGUAGGGGCCUAGCGUUGUCCGGAUUUAUUGGGCGUAAAGAGCUCGUAGGCGGCACGGUUAGUCAGGUGUGAAAUCUCCACGCUCAACGUGGAGGGGUCACCUGAUACUGCCGAGCUUGAGUCCGGUAGGGGAGUGCGGAAUUCCUGGUGUAGCGGUGAAAUGCGUAGAUAUCAGGAGGAACACCUGUGGCGAAAGCGGCUCACUGGACCACAACUGACGCUGAGGCGCGAAAGCUAGGGGAGCAAACAGG
rnacentral:rRNA from 1 species